UGAGUACUCCCACCGUCCGGAAAUACUUGUCAUCAAAAUGAAUAAAAGGGAAUGUACCUAGAUGUAUUUUAGUUUUAGAUACAUCCCUUUUUUUCCAUUUUGAUGACAAGUAUUUUUUCACGGAGGGAUUAGUUA
rfam:Triticum urartu cultivar G1812 contig973907, whole genome shotgun sequence.